rnacentral:rRNA from 1 species
UACGUAGGGUCCGAGCGUUUGUCCGGAAUUACUGGGCGUAAAGAGCUCGUAGGUGGUUUGUCGCGUUGUUCGUGAAAACUCACAGCUCAACUGUGGGCGUGCGGGCGAUACGGGCAGACUGGAGUACUGCAGGGGAGACUGGAAUUCCUGGUGUAGCGGUGGAAUGCGCAGAUAUCAGGAGGAACACCGGUGGCGAAGGCGGGUCUCUGGGCCACUACUGACGCUGAGAAGCGAAAGCAUGGGGAGCGAACAGG